AGAGGAGUGGCGGAGUGGUCGAACGCGGCGGUCUUGAAAACCGUUGUACCGCAAGGUACCGGGGGUUCGAAUCCCUCCUCCUCUGC
rnacentral:tRNA from 1 species